UUGGGAAUAUUGGACAAUGGGAGAAAUCCUGAUCCAGCAAUCCCGCGUGAGGGAAGAAGGUCCUCGGAUCGUAAACCUCUUUCAGCAGGGAAGAUAAUGACGGUACCUGCAGAAGAAGCACCGGCUAACUCUGUGCCAGCAGCCGCGGUAAUACAGAGGGUGCAAGCGUUGUUCGGAAUCAUUGGGCGUAAAGCGUGUGUAGGCGGUUUGCUAAGUCUGGUGUGAAAGCCCGGAGCUUAACUCCGGAAGUGCACUGGAUACUGGCAAGCUAGAGGACGAGAGAGGGAGGCAGAAUUCCUGGUGUAGGGGUGAAAUCCGUAGAUAUCAGGAGGAACAUCGGAAGCGAAGGCGGCUUCCUGGCUCGUUUCUGACGCUGAGACACGAAAGCGUGGGUAGCAAA
rnacentral:rRNA from 1 species